rnacentral:rRNA from 1 species
AGAGUUUGAUCAUGGCUCAGGAUGAACGUUGGCGGUGUGCUAAUACAUGCAAGUCGAACGGAGUUAAUAGCAAUAUUGACUUAGUGGCGAACGGGUGAGUAACGCGUUGGUGAUCUGCCUCGAAGUGUGGAAUAACGUUCCGAAAGGAUCGCUAAUACCGCAUGUGCUCUCGAUUUUUAGAAACUUGAGAGUAAAGGAUUUAUUCGCUUCGAGAGGAGCCUGCGUCCCAUCAGCUGGUUGGUAGGGUAACGGCCUACCAAGGCUAUGACGGGUAGGGGACCUGAGAGGGUGGCCCCCCACAAUGGAACUGAAACACGGUCCAUACACCUACGGGUGGCAGCAGUAGGGAAUAUUAGAAAUGGACGAAAGUCUGAUCUAGCAACACCGCGUGUGCGAAGAAGGCCUUCGGGUCGUAAAGCACUUUUUGGAAGGAAUAGGAGGGAAUGUACUUCCAGAAUAAGUCUCGGCUAACUACGUGCCAGCAGCCGCGGUAACACGUAGGAGGCAAACGUUAUCCGGAUUUACUGGGCGUAAAGCGCGUGUAGGUGGUACUGUAAGUAGGGCGUGAAAGCUCCCGGCUCAACUGGGAGAGGCCGUUCUAAACUGCAGAACUAGAGGAUGGUAGAGGGAGGUGGAAUUCCAGGUGUAGCGGUGGAAUGCGCAGAUAUCUGGAGGAACACCAGUGGCGAAGGCGGCCUCCUGGACCAUUCCUGACACUCAGACGCGAAAGCUAGGGUAGCAAACGGGAUUAGAGACCCCGGUAGUCCUAGCCCUAAACGAUGUAGACUAGGCGUCGGUGGUUUAAUCACCAUCGGUGUCCAAGCUAACGCGAUAAGUCUACCGCCUGGGGACUACGGCCGCAAGGUUAAAACUCAAAUGAAUUGACGG